rnacentral:rRNA from 1 species
UACGAAGGGGGCUAGCGUUGCUCGGAAUCACUGGGCGUAAAGCGCACGUAGGCGGAUCUUUAAGUCAGGGGUGAAAUCCCGGGGCUCAACUCCGGAACUGCCUUUGAUACUGAGGGUCUCGAGUUCGGGAGAGGUGAGUGGAACUGCGAGUGUAGAGGUGAAAUUCGUAGAUAUUAGGAAGAACACCAGUGGCGAAGGCGGCUCACUGGUCCGGUACUGACGCUGAGGUGCGAAAGCGUGGGGAGCAAACAGG